rnacentral:rRNA from 1 species
AGUGAACGCUGGCGGUAGGCCUAACACAUGCAAGUCGAACGGCAGCACAGUAAGAGCUUGCUCUUACAGGUGGGGAGUGGCGGACGGGUGCGAAAUACAUCGGAAUCUACUUUUUCGUGGGGGCUAACGCAGGGAAACUUACGCCAAUACCCCAUACGACCUACGGGUGAAAGCAGCGGAUCUUCGGCCCUUGCGCGAUUGAAUGAGCCGAUGUCGCGUUAGCUGGUUGGGGGGGUAAAGGCCCACCAAUGCGACGCUCCGUAGCUGGGCUGAGAGGAUAGUCAGCCACACUGUGACUGAGAGACGGGCCACAGUCCUCCGGGAGGCGGCAGUGGGGAAGAUUGGAGAAUAGGGGCAAACCUGUGCCAGCCACACCGCGUGUGUGAAGAAGGCCUUCGGGUUGUAAAGACCUCUUGUUGGGAAGGAAAAGCAGCAGGUGAAUACCCCGCUGUUCUGACGGUACCCAAAGAGUAAGCACCGGCUAACUUCGUG